AACCGCACGGGAUAAUCGUUUUAUCGCGUGCGGUUGUUCUAAGCUGACCGCACGGGAUAAUCGAUUAUCCCGUGUGGCC
rnacentral:pre_miRNA from 9 species